AAAAACUUCAUAAUCUCUACUACAUUAUUUUCAAAAACCUCAAUAGCUACCUGAUUAGAACCCAAAGCAUCUGCACCUCCAAGCUGAACCUAGAAGCUGUUUUACUCCUGCUGCUGCGUUGUGAAGGAGAAGUUCCUCGUCUCCUUUUCCUGUGAACUAUUCCCCAGUUGGGCUACCGGUGCUGACUGACAAGAAAACUGAUUUUUUGCAGAGCAGUGAAUAACUACACCACAUACAAAGGAAUGCAGGUCGUCUCGCAGCCUCUCACUCAAACCAGCGAGAACUUCUUGUCUACAUCACCCUUCCACUGGCAAAUAACAUUGAGUACUUCUUCCCAUCUGUCUUCACUGACUUCUCUAAGACAUCAACAAAUCAGAUGUCAAUCAGGCCUUCCUGCACAACCCACUAGACUGCAGAACAUCCUUCCCCUCUUUCAUAUUUCUUGGGUUUUCUUCUCUUUUUACUAUAGAUUAAGCAUUUCCAGACUCACUGGAACUCCACACCUUUAGGCAAUAUCUUGAGUGGCCACUAUAAAAACAACUGAUAGUGUUUCAUGAUGUUCAUCAUUCCUGCAGCACUUGUCCGAACACUAGCCCAGUAAAUCCUUUUAAUAUUGCAGUAGAUUGGGAUUUUUACUUUUGUUUUUUCGUUUUUAGCCAGCAGGGCAUACAGAUCAUGGCCACGCUAAAGGAACAUGAAAUGUUUUUGAUUCUGUUUAAUGAUGGGGACGUUUAAAUAGCCACGACUAGAGAAGAUCAAAUUAGUCAUUGUGAAUACCAUUUGUUGCUAAUUC
rnacentral:lncRNA from 1 species